rnacentral:rRNA from 1 species
UUAAGCGACUAAGCGUACACGGUGGAUGCCCUGGCAGUCAGAGGCGAUGAAGGACGUGCUAAUCUGCGAUAAGCGUCGGUAAGGUGAUAUGAACCGUUAUAACCGGCGAUUUCCGAAUGGGGAAACCCAGUGUGAUUCGUCACACUAUCAUUAACUGAAUCCAUAGGUUAAUGAGGCGAACCGGGGGAACUGAAACAUCUAAGUACCCCGAGGAAAAGAAAUCAACCGAGAUUCCCCCAGUAGCGGCGAGCGAACGGGGAGCAGCCCAGAGCCUGAAUCAGUAUGUGUGUUAGUGGAAGCGUCUGGAAAGGCGCGCGAUACAGGGUGACAGCCCCGUACACAAAAAUGCACAUGCUGUGAGCUCGAUGAGUAGGGCGGGACACGUGGUAUCCUGUCUGAAUAUGGGGGGACCAUCCUCCAAGGCUAAAUACUCCUGACUGACCGAUAGUGAACCAGUACCGUGAGGGAAAGGCGAAAAGAACCCCGGCGAGGGGAGUGAAAAAGAACCUGAAACCGUGUACGUACAAGCAGUGGGAGCACGCUUAGGCGUGUGACUGCGUACCUUUUGUAUAAUGGGUCAGCGACUUAUAUUCUGUAGCAAGGUUAACCGAAUAGGGGAGCCGAAGGGAAACCGAGUCUUAACUGGGCGUUAAGUUGCAGGGUAUAGACCCGAAACCCGGUGAUCUAGCCAUGGGCAGGUUGAAGGUUGGGUAACACUAACUGGAGGACCGAACCGACUAAUGUUGAAAAAUUAGCGGAUGACUUGUGGCUGGGGGUGAAAGGCCAAUCAAACCGGGAGAUAGCUGGUUCUCCCCGAAAGCUAUUUAGGUAGCGCCUCGUGAAUUCAUCUCCGGGGGUAGAGCACUGUUUCGGCAAGGGGGUCAUCCCGACUUACCAACCCGAUGCAAACUGCGAAUACCGGAGAAUGUUAUCACGGGAGACACACGGCGGGUGCUAACGUCCGUCGUGAAGAGGGAAACAACCCAGACCGCCAGCUAAGGUCCCAAAGUCAUGGUUAAGUGGGAAACGAUGUGGGAAGGCCCAGACAGCCAGGAUGUUGGCUUAGAAGCAGCCAUCAUUUAAAGAAAGCGUAAUAGCUCACUGGUCGAGUCGGCCUGCGCGGAAGAUGUAACGGGGCUAAACCAUGCACCGAAGCUGCGGCAGCGACGCUUAUGCGUUGUUGGGUAGGGGAGCGUUCUGUAAGCCUGUGAAGGUGUGCUGUGAGGCAUGCUGGAGGUAUCAGAAGUGCGAAUGCUGACAUAAGUAACGAUAAAGCGGGUGAAAAGCCCGCUCGCCGGAAGACCAAGGGUUCCUGUCCAACGUUAAUCGGGGCAGGGUGAGUCGACCCCUAAGGCGAGGCCGAAAGGCGUAGUCGAUGGGAAACAGGUUAAUAUUCCUGUACUUGGUGUUACUGCGAAGGGGGGACGGAGAAGGCUAUGUUGGCCGGGCGACGGUUGUCCCGGUUUAAGCGUGUAGGCUGGUUUUCCAGGCAAAUCCGGAAAAUCAAGGCUGAGGCGUGAUGACGAGGCACUACGGUGCUGAAGCAACAAAUGCCCUGCUUCCAGGAAAAGCCUCUAAGCAUCAGGUAACAUCAAAUCGUACCCCAAACCGACACAGGUGGUCAGGUAGAGAAUACCAAGGCGCUUGAGAGAACUCGGGUGAAGGAACUAGGCAAAAUGGUGCCGUAACUUCGGGAGAAGGCACGCUGAUAUGUAGGUGAAGUCCCUCGCGGAUGGAGCUGAAAUCAGUCGAAGAUACCAGCUGGCUGCAACUGUUUAUUAAAAACACAGCACUGUGCAAACACGAAAGUGGACGUAUACGGUGUGACGCCUGCCCGGUGCCGGAAGGUUAAUUGAUGGGGUUAGCGCAAGCGAAGCUCUUGAUCGAAGCCCCGGUAAACGGCGGCCGUAACUAUAACGGUCCUAAGGUAGCGAAAUUCCUUGUCGGGUAAGUUCCGACCUGCACGAAUGGCGUAAUGAUGGCCAGGCUGUCUCCACCCGAGACUCAGUGAAAUUGAACUCGCUGUGAAGAUGCAGUGUACCCGCGGCAAGACGGAAAGACCCCGUGAACCUUUACUAUAGCUUGACACUGAACAUUGAGCCUUGAUGUGUAGGAUAGGUGGGAGGCUUAGAAGUGUGGACGCCAGUCUGCAUGGAGCCGACCUUGAAAUACCACCCUUUAAUGUUUGAUGUUCUAACGUUGACCCGUAAUCCGGGUUGCGGACAGUGUCUGGUGGGUAGUUUGACUGGGGCGGUCUCCUCCUAAAGAGUAACGGAGGAGCACGAAGGUUGGCUAAUCCUGGUCGGACAUCAGGAGGUUAGUGCAAUGGCAUAAGCCAGCUUGACUGCGAGCGUGACGGCGCGAGCAGGUGCGAAAGCAGGUCAUAGUGAUCCGGUGGUUCUGAAUGGAAGGGCCAUCGCUCAACGGAUAAAAGGUACUCCGGGGAUAACAGGCUGAUACCGCCCAAGAGUUCAUAUCGACGGCGGUGUUUGGCACCUCGAUGUCGGCUCAUCACAUCCUGGGGCUGAAGUAGGUCCCAAGGGUAUGGCUGUUCGCCAUUUAAAGUGGUACGCGAGCUGGGUUUAGAACGUCGUGAGACAGUUCGGUCCCUAUCUGCCGUGGGCGCUGGAGAACUGAGGGGGGCUGCUCCUAGUACGAGAGGACCGGAGUGGACGCAUCACUGGUGUUCGGGUUGUCAUGCCAAUGGCACUGCCCGGUAGCUAAAUGCGGAAGAGAUAAGUGCUGAAAGCAUCUAAGCACGAAACUUGCCCCGAGAUGAGUUCUCCCUGACUCCUUGAGAGUCCUGAAGGAACGUUGAAGACGACGACGUUGAUAGGCCGGGUGUGUAAGCGCAGCGAUGCGUUGAGCUAACCGGUACUAAUGAACCGUGAGGCUUAACCUU